GACGUAGGGCGCGAGCGUUGUCCGGAUUUAUUGGGCGUAAAGAGCUCGUAGGCGGCUUGUCGCGUCGGCUGUGAAAACCCGCGGCUCAACUGUGGGCGGGCAGCUGAUACGGGCAGGCUGGAGUUCGGUAGGGGAGACUGGAAUUCCUGGUGUAGCGGUGAAAUGCGCAGAUAUCAGGAGGAACACCGGUGGCGAAGGCGGAUCUCUGGGCCAUUACUGACGCUGAGGAGCGAAAGCGUGGGGAGCGAACAGG
rnacentral:rRNA from 1 species